GUAGCCUUGCCGGUUCGAGGUUCUUCGCUUGCAGCCCAGCGCUCAGGCCAAGCUAAGACGGGAAUGCGGUCAAUGCCGCAGCUGCCCCCGCAACUGUAAACGGUCAUGUUCAUCGCACAGCCACUGCUCAGGCGGGAAGGCGCGAUGAGUGUGUAUCGACGCGGCUUUCAACGCCCGCGAUACGCCGCCGUAAGCCAGGAGACCUGCCUUGAACCGGGCCAACGC
rnacentral:ncRNA from 1 species